GAGAAAGUACUACCAGAACUGCUAACUCUUGUUACCAUGCAUAAAAACAUGGCUUUCUCA
rnacentral:tRNA from 1 species